UACAGAGGUCUCAAGCGUUGUUCGGAUUCAUUGGGCGUAAAGGGUGCGUAGGUGGUGCCGUAAGUUGGAUGUGAAAUCUCGGGGCUUAACCCCGAAACUGCAUUCAAUACUGCGGUGCUUGAGUACUGGAGAGGAGAUUGGAAUUCACGGUGUAGCAGUGAAAUGCGUAGAUAUCGUGAGGAAGACCAGUGGCGAAGGCGGAUCUCUGGACAGUUACUGACACUGAGGCACGAAGGCCAGGGGAGCAAACGGG
rnacentral:rRNA from 1 species